ensembl:lncRNA chromogranin B
GCCCUCCCCGUCUCCCCUUAUGAGGAGCUGCUCGGCUGCAGCCCCUCAGAGCAGCUCCGUCCUGCUGCUGCAGAGUCACUUUGUCUGGAUGUUUUCCUACAGAUCACCAUGAUGAGGCUCGUUUUUCUCCUGGUGGCGGCUCUGCUGUCUGGUAGGUAGAGGUGUGAGAGCAUGCUGCUUCUAUCUGCCUUAGUGUGUUGCUGUAAGUUCAGCACUUCAGCACCACGGACAGAGACUGAACUUAUCUUUUAUUCCAAUUUGUUGCACAGAAAAUCUUGCGCUUCCUGUGGGUAAAGAAGAACAGAGAGAAGACGUGGUAUGUUUUUGGUUUUUUUUUUCUCUUCCCAUUGAUGUUUGAUUUAUGAAGAUGCAUGAUGGAGCUGUGUGUAUGAAACGAAGUUGCAUUUUGCAGGUGACUCGGUGUUUGCUUGAGGUCCUGUCCAAGGCUCUUUCCCAACCAGACUCUCGGCUGGAUCAGGAAUGCAACGACAUCCUUCAAGCAGGGAUCAAACAUGCUCCAUUAGACAAGAAAAGUGUUGAUGGUACAGCUGCUAAGGAGGACAGGGUGAAAGGUCAAGACGAGAAGCCUGAGGCUCAACUGACAGAUGUGAACGACAUCGAAAAACUUCUGAAACCUUUGGAGGGCAAAAAGGAGACGCCGGAAGAUGAGCGCAGCCAGGAAUCCUGGAGUCUGGUUGACGAUAAGGACAAGAGGCCUGAGGACGAAUUGGAAGGGAGGGAGAAGAGAAGCAACUGGAGGCCUGGGAGGGUCCACCAGAAGAAGCACAAACGUGGAGAGGAAGAGGAAGACAACGAACGCAGCCAGGAAAGCUGGGGAUUAGAGGAAAAGCGAUCCGAUGAUGGAGAGGAGGGUGAAGAAGAUCGAGAGAAGAGGGCUUCAUGGAGGCCCGGGAGACACUACCAAAGAAAAUACAAACGAGACGAGGAACCCCUGGGGGAAUAUGGAGAAGAACCUGAGGAAGAACGCAGCCAGGAAUCCUGGGAUGUAGACAAAAGAAGUGAGGGAGAGGAGGAGAGAUAUAAACGCAUAUGGAAGCCCACUCAUCGGUAUCACCACAAGAAAAAGUACCACAAGCGCAGCGAUGGGCCAUCGGAAGCUGAGGAAAAUGAAGAACGCAGUCAAGAAUCAUGGGGCCUCGACAAAAGAGACUGGAGAGGAAGAGUCCACCAACAUAGACGCAAACGUGAUGAAGAACUGACGGAGGAAGAACCAGAAGAGGAACGCAGUCAAGAAUCCUGGGAUUUCGACACUGAACGACAGAAAAGAGGCUGGAGGCCUGGCAGAGUGCACCAGACGAGACACAGGCGGGAUGCAGAAUCUGAGGAAGUAAGAGACAACCAGGACGAGGAACGCAGUCAGGAAUACUGGGAUUUUGACACUGGAAGAGAGAAAAGAGGCUGGAGACCUGGCAGACAGCACCAGACGAGACACAGGCGUGAUGAGGAACUAUCUGAAGAUGCAAGGAAUGAACCAGAGGAAGAACGCAGUCAGGAAUACUGGGACUUUGACACAGGAAGAGAGAAAAGAGGCUGGAGACCUGGCAGACACCACCAGACCCGACACAGACGGGAUGAGGAACUAUCCCAGGACGCCAGAGAAGAGCCAGAUGAGGAACGCAGCCAGGAAUCAUGGGAUUUUGACACUGGAAGAGAGAAAAGAGGCUGGAGACCUGGCAGACAACACCAGACCAGACACAGACGGGAUGAGGUACUAUCCGAGGAAGCCGGAGAAGAGCCAGAUGAGGAACGCAGCCAGGAAUCAUGGGAUUUUGACACUGGAAGAGAGAAAAGAGGCUGGAGACCUGGCAGACAACACCAGACCAGACACAGACGGGAUGAGGUACUAUCCGAGGAAGCCGGAGAAGAGCCGGAUGAGGAACGCAGUCAGGAAUACUGGGACUUUGACACUGGAAGGGAGAAGAGGGAGUGGAGAGCUGGCAGGCACCAUCAGACCAGACACAGACGUAAUGAGGUGGUGUCAGAGGAUGAGCCAGAAGAAGAACGCAGUCAGGAGUACUGGGAUUUUGACACCGGAAUGUCCAAGCGGGAUGAAACAAUGAGGGAUCUGGCAGAGAAGCGGAACCCAUGGAUUUUUAGAGGUUAUUACCACCCUGCCUGGUACAAGAGAGAUUCAGACAAACAUGCAGCAGAGGUGGAUAAACUGGCCAAGCUGCUGAACUACAAGCUGAAUAACAACGCAGAUCAAGUGGAGUCAAAGAGGAGCAUGCAACAAAAGCCACUGACACCACAAGAGGAGAAAGGGUUGGAAAACCUGGCAGCACUGGACCUGGAGUUGCGAAGGAUUGCAGCUAAAUUGCAUGAUAACGCUGCGUAAUCCAGGAUCUUUGUGCGACUCCCAUUAGCCGUCAGUGAAUAAACCUUGCUGUCUUAAUAUUUGUCUGCCA